GAGGAGACGGUGAAGAGCUCCGCCUGCAAGAGUGCGGUGCCCGAUGAGUUCUUUGCUUGUCUGAACAACCGGAGUGAAUUAUUAAAGAGGAACACUGAUAAAAUGCUGAGGAAGAAGUUGCUGCUGGCCCGGGACAGGCUGCAGCAGCACGUAGUGGCACUUGGGGUAAUAGCCGAUGCUGUGGACAAGGUUCACAGAGAAGUUACAAUAGCAAAUGUUGCUGGAGGGAGAGUGGGCAUCAUGGGCAAGAUCACCCACAUUGUGGCACGCUGUCAUCCCUGAGACCUUUGUUGCAUGUCUGAUGCUCUCCAGCAGACAGCUUGUCAUCUGUGUAGUAGGCAGUGUGAUGGGUACAGCAGUGACUGCCUCCGACAUAACACUGGAGAGUCAAGCCAAGAAGAGGGAGAGAAGCAGGCUCCAAGACAAUGGUCAGGCUGUGCUGAAGCAAAUCCAGAAGUGCAUAAAACAGCUCUCUAACAAAGAACAGGAUUCAGAAAGCAAUUUUGAGCGUGAUCUGCUGCUUAUGAUCCCGCAAAUUGGGGCAGGAGCAAGGUGGACCGCUCUCAACACCAUGAAGAUGUUCAAAGGUGGAAAGUGGCUGAGUAAUGCCGGCUACGUCACGAGAUUCGCAGGAGCUAACGUGUGUCCUGAUAGCCCUGAAAACCUGAUCCAUCUUCUGUGUAGUCAAGAACUUCAAAGACACCAAAAGAGGUCUGAGAUCUGAGAGACAGUUGCUGAACUGGAGCAAGUGAUUUACCAAGCCGACCACACGUAUGAGGCACUGAUUAGAAAGAAACUCAGAUGAUGCAACACUGCUGCUGGGUGCCAGCACCGGCGAGGUUGCAGCCCUGCACUUUGUGCCCCACCAUCAGCACAGAAAACUGGGGGGCAUGUGCCCCCCCCCAUGCAUCACCUAUGGAGAGAGACCAGAACCAAACCCUGAGGAAUAAUAAUGGGCCUGAGCAUCCAUCUCCAACAGGUGCAGCUUGCGUUAAAGGGACUCGGGACCUCACCCGACACUGUGCGUAUGACUAGCAAGAACAUGUAGACAGUGCCCAUCCUGCAGGCCUCAGACAUGGGCAGUAUCUGAAAGGCCAUGAUGGUAAGAAAUCCUCCCUUCCAGAAGUGUAUCUUGCCCCGGGACAUCAAUCCCAGCUAACUGGCACCUUCCCAGUCCAGAGGAAACCUGGUUCGGGCCCAUUCACAAACAUAAGUGAAACCAAGAAAUGUGACUUAAACCCAUCCGAAAACACUUCUUAGACUGUUAGCCAGCUGUGAAUGCAGGGGAUAGACUGAAGGGAAAACUGGAGAGCUCUGCAAAUGCAGGAAGGCCGGCUUACAAUCUGUGCCAGCUUCCUCCUGGGUCUCAGGGCCCUUGUUGAUUCUUGUACCAGGACCAAUAAAAGCUCAAGCUACA